CGCGGGGUGGAGCAGCUCGGUAGCUCGCUGGGCUCAUAACCCAGAGGUCGCAGGUUCAAAUCCCGCCCCCGCUACCA
rnacentral:tRNA from 1 species